AACGCGAAGAACCUUACCCAGACUUGACAUGCAGUAGACCGGUCUAGAAAUAGGCCUUUCCUUCGGGACUGCUGCACAGGUGCUGCAUGGCUGUCGUCAGCUCGUGCCGUGAGGUGUUGGGUUAAGUCCCGCAACGAGCGCAACCCUUAUCAUUAGUUGCCAACAUUUAAGGUGGGAACUCUAAUGAGACUGCCUGGGUUAACCAGGAGGAAGGUGAGGAUGACGUCAAGUCCGCAUGGCCCUUAUGUCUGGGGCUACACACGUGCUACAAUGGUCGGUACAGAAGGCAGCGAAGCCGCGAGGUGAAGCAAAUCCCGAAAGCCGGCCUCAGUUCAGAUUGUAGUCUGCAACUCGACUACAUGAAGACGGAAUUGCUAGUAAUGGCGAGUCAGCAACAUCGCCGUGAAUACGUUCCCGGGUCUUGUACACACGC
rnacentral:rRNA from 1 species